UAACUCCUUUAAUAUAAUGCUUAGGUAUUAGACAUUAGUCAUUUGAAUAUUAUCGGUGCGUUACAUGCUACUUUUAACUCAAAAUACAUUCUCCUUUACCGGGUCCGUUAUAGUGAUAUAUAUGUAUAUAUAAAAAUAAAAAUGUGUUAUAUAAACAUUAUAUUUUGUUACAAACACUAAAACGUACCGAGGAAAGGUUGUAUCGACAAUAUUCAAACUAGGAUAUAACCCUGAUAUAUCUCAUUAAAUCUAAAAGUACCUACAUUAAAAGAUAGAAUACACUUAUAGAGUUUGGAAAAAAGAAAAAUAAAGGAAAAUUACCAUCGGACAGCACCUCGUAAGCCUCAGAUAUUUCUUUGAAACGCCUGUUAGCUUCAUCUGCAUUAUCUGGAUUCUUGUCUGGAUGCCAUUUUAAUGCUAAUUUUCUGUAACUGAAAAUUUUAAAUGUUUUUGAAAUAAUGCCAUAUGAACAUGAUAUCUAAAAAAAUAAUUGUUCAUUGUUCUAUUGCAUAUUGAUACUACAAAAAACAGAGAUGAACCUACGCUUUUUUUAUCUCCGCAUCCGUAGAAGAUCUUGAAACACCAAGUAUUCUAUAGUAGUCCACCAUCUCUAUGUUCCCUCAAGGGGUUUUAUAUAUUCUGAAAUAUAAACAAAAUACUGAAGAUCGCUUUAACAUAAAACUUUUCCAUGAACUAUAUUUUUGUUGUAACAAUAUUUAAUCUAAAAUGUUGGAUACAUGCAUCAAAUGUUUUUUGUAUUUCAAUAUUUCUUUUUAUAUCUUAGCAUUUUAUAUUAUGUUUAUAUGUAGCAGACAUUCCAUAUAUGUGGAAAGUCUAUGAAAAUAUAGCUUUAUGACAUAUUAUUGUAUUUCCCAAAAAACCUACCUAAAAUAUUAAAAUUGAAAUUUUCAGAUGACAUUGAUUAUUACAUCGUCAAACUGGAAUUAUUUAGUAUGUUUAUUUGUUUACAUAUAAGAACUCAUUCUGUCAAUAUGGAACUGCAUACAGAAAAUGUUUUGAAGCUUAAUUUGAAGGCAUUGAAAAUAUUUAUGAUAUUUUUACAUGUUGCAACAGAAGUUACAAAUGUGUCCAUUUAAAUGUUAAAUAUAUAAGAGUUUUAACUACUUAUUAAAGAAUCUGAGACUA